rnacentral:rRNA from 1 species
UACGGAGGAUGCAAGCGUUAUCCGGAAUUAUUGGGCGUAAAGCGUCCGCAGGUGGUUAUCCAAGUCUGCUGUUAAAGCGCGAGGCUUAACUUCGUACAGGCAGUGGAAACUGGGUGACUGGAGUAUGGUAGGGGUAGCGGGAAUUCCCAGUGUAGCGGUGAAAUGCGUAGAUAUUGGGAAGAACACCAGCGGCGAAAGCGCGCUACUGGGCCAUUGCUGACACUCAUGGACGAAAGCUAGGGGAGCGAAAGGG